AACGUAGGAGACAAACGUUAUCCGGAGUUACUGGGCGUAAAGGGCGUGUAGGUGGUUUCGUAAGUCUGGCGUGAAAUUUCUCGGCUUAACCGAGGCAGGUCGUCGGAUACUGCGAGGCUAGAGGACGGUAGAGGCGUGUGGAAUUCCGGGUGUAGUGGUGAAAUGCGUAGAGAUCCGGAGGAACACCAGUGGCGAAGGCGACACGCUGGGCCGUACCUGACACUGAUGCGCGACAGCGUGGGGAGCGAACAGG
rnacentral:rRNA from 1 species